rnacentral:tRNA from 1 species
ACUUAAAUAGCUUAUAUAGAGCGCAACAUUGAAGAUGUUGAUGAAAUUAAAUAUUAAUUUUUAGGUA